GGGUUGUGAGGUUAAGCGACUAAGCGUACACGGUGGAUGCCCUGGCAGUCAGAGGCGAUGAAGGACGUGCUAAUCUGCGAUAAGCGCCGGUAAGGUGAUAUGAACCGUUAUAACCGGCGAUUUCCGAAUGGGGAAACCCAGUGUGACUCGUCACACUAUCAUUAACUGAAUCCAUAGGUUAAUGAGGCGAACCGGGGGAACUGAAACAUCUAAGUACCCCGAGGAAAAGAAAUCAACCGAGAUUCCCCCAGUAGCGGCGAGCGAACGGGGAGGAGCCCAGAGCCUGAAUCAGCAUGUGUGUUAGUGGAAGCGUCUGGAAAGGCGCGCGAUACAGGGUGACAGCCCCGUACACAAAAGCGCAUGUGCUGUGAGCUCGAUGAGUAGGGCGGGACACGUGGUAUCCUGUCUGAAUAUGGGGGGACCAUCCUCCAAGGCUAAAUACUCCUGACUGACCGAUAGUGAACCAGUACCGUGAGGGAAAGGCGAAAAGAACCCCGGCGAGGGGAGUGAAAAAGAACCUGAAACCGUGUACGUACAAGCAGUGGGAGCNGUGACUGCGUACCUUUUGUAUAAUGGGUCAGCGACUUAUAUUCUGUAGCAAGGUUAACCGAAUAGGGGAGCCGGAGGGAAACCGAGUCUUAAUUGGGCGUUAAGUUGCAGGGUAUAGACCCGAAACCCGGUGAUCUAGCCAUGGGCAGGUUGAAGGUUGGGUAACACUAACUGGAGGACCGAACCGACUAAUGUUGAAAAAUUAGCGGAUGACCUGUGGCUGGGGGUGAAAGGCCAAUCAAACCGGGAGAUAGCUGGUUCUCCCCGAAAGCUAUUUAGGUAGCGCCUCGUGAAUUCAUCUCCGGGGGUAGAGCACUGUUUCGGCUAGGGGGCCAUCCCGGCUUACCAACCCGAUGCAAACUGCGAAUACCGGAGAAUGUUAUCACGGGAGACACACGGCGGGUGCUAACGUCCGUCGUGAAGAGGGAAACAACCCAGACCGCCAGCUAAGGUCCCAAAGUCAUGGUUAAGUGGGAAACGAUGUGGGAAGGCCCAGACAGCCAGGAUGUUGGCUUAGAAGCAGCCAUCAUUUAAAGAAAGCGUAAUAGCUCACUGGUCGAGUCGGCCUGCGCGGAAGAUGUAACGGGGCUAAACCAUGCACCGAAGCUGCGGCAGCGANGUUGGGUAGGGGAGCGUUCUGUAAGCCUGCGAAGGUGGCCUGUGAGGGUUGCUGGAGGUAUCAGAAGUGCGAAUGCUGACAUAAGUAACGAUAAAGCGGGUGAAAAGCCCGCUCGCCGGAAGACCAAGGGUUCCUGUCCAACGUUAAUCGGGGCAGGGUGAGUCGACCCCUAAGGCGAGGCCGAAAGGCGUAGUCGAUGGGAAACGGGUUAAUAUUCCCGUACUUGGUGUUACUGCGAAGGGGGGACGGAGAAGGCUAUGUUGGCCGGGCGACGGUUGUCCCGGUUUAAGCGUGUAGGUGUGUGUUCCAGGUAAAUCCGGUUCACUUUAACACUGAGGCGUGAUGACGAGGCACUACGGUGCUGAAGCAACAAAUGCCCUGCUUCCAGGAAAAGCCUCUAAGCAUCAGGUAACAUCAAAUCGUACCCCAAACCGACACAGGUGGUCAGGUAGAGAAUACCAAGGCGCUUGAGAGAACUCGGGUGAAGGAACUAGGCAAAAUGGUGCCGUAACUUCGGGAGAAGGCACGCUGACACGUAGGUGAAGUGAUUUACUCAUGGAGCUGAAGUCAGUCGAAGAUACCAGCUGGCUGCAACUGUUUAUUAAAAACACAGCACUGUGCAAACACGAAAGUGGACGUAUACGGUGUGACGCCUGCCCGGUGCCGGAAGGUUAAUUGAUGGGGUCAGCGCAAGCGAAGCUCCUGAUCGAAGCCCCGGUAAACGGCGGCCGUAACUAUAACGGUCCUAAGGUAGCGAAAUUCCUUGUCGGGUAAGUUCCGACCUGCACGAAUGGCGUAAUGAUGGCCAGGCUGUCUCCACCCGAGACUCAGUGAAAUUGAACUCGCUGUGAAGAUGCAGUGUACCCGCGGCAAGACGGAAAGACCCCGUGAACCUUUACUAUAGCUUGACACUGAACAUUGAGCCUUGAUGUGUAGGAUAGGUGGGAGGCUUUGAAGCGUGGACGCCAGUCUGCGUGGAGCCGACCUUGAAAUACCACCCUUUAAUGUUUGAUGUUCUAACGUGGACCCGUAAUCCGGGUUGCGGACAGUGUCUGGUGGGUAGUUUGACUGGGGCGGUCUCCUCCUAAAGAGUAACGGAGGAGCACGAAGGUUGGCUAAUCCUGGUCGGACAUCAGGAGGUUAGUGCAAUGGCAUAAGCCAGCUUGACUGCGAGCGUGACGGCGCGAGCAGGUGCGAAAGCAGGUCAUAGUGAUCCGGUGGUUCUGAAUGGAAGGGCCAUCGCUCAACGGAUAAAAGGUACUCCGGGGAUAACAGGCUGAUACCGCCCAAGAGUUCAUAUCGACGGCGGUGUUUGGCACCUCGAUGUCGGCUCAUCACAUCCUGGGGCUGAAGUAGGUCCCAAGGGUAUGGCUGUUCGCCAUUUAAAGUGGUACGCGAGCUGGGUUUAGAACGUCGUGAGACAGUUCGGUCCCUAUCUGCCGUGGGCGCUGGAGAACUGAGGGGGGCUGCUCCUAGUACGAGAGGACCGGAGUGGACGCAUCACUGGUGUUCGGGUUGUCAUGCCAAUGGCACUGCCCGGUAGCUAAAUGCGGAAGAGAUAAGUGCUGAAAGCAUCUAAGCACGAAACUUGCCCCGAGAUGAGUUCUCCCUGAGACUUAGAGUCUCCUGAAGGAACGUUGAAGACGACGACGUUGAUAGGCCGGGUGUGUAAGCGCAGCGAUGCGUUGAGCUAACCGGUACUAAUGAACCGUGAGGCUUAACCUUACAACGCCGAAG
rnacentral:rRNA from 1 species